AAGAUCUUAAAGCAACACAUUACAUACUCAUAGAAGAAUAAGUUUUUAACUGAGAUAUAUGCUUAACCUCAAUUACAGGUUGAGAUGCUGAUUUUCUCUUGUCUUUAUUUUAUAAAAUGUCUUCUGUUUCUUGUGACAUAUGUAAAACAUAAACCAGAACACAAAUAUAAUUUAGCAUAAUGUAUUAGAAACCUAUACAAACUAGGUAGGUCAGUUGUCACUUCUAAAAGGCCUGGAAUUGAUUUGUUUGUCAGAAUGGUGUAAAUAUUCCUAGAGUAUUCUAAGGAUGAUUUUAAAUGAUGAAUUCAUAAACUAACAGACCUCGUAAUGUAUGUGCAAAAAAAUAUACUCCGUAUGUAGUGUAUUUCUUACUAAUUUGCAGAGGCUGUUCUAUUUCCUUCUCAGGAAACACAGUUUUGAACUUAGUUGUUAGCUAAAAUUUUAGUGCAAAUUUAAUUGAUCUAUUCUAAUGUCUACUAAAUUCUAUUUUGUUUAUUACUUUUUCUAAAUAAUUAGUGAUCUGAUAGUACUCGUGGUCCAUUUUAGUCCUGAGACUAAUGACAUCUUCUGUUAUUGGUAUCUUAAAUGUGCCUCAGGCUAUAUCAAAGGACAGUACAUUUUUCAUUUAAUGUGAAAAUGCAAUAGUAACAAUCCCAAGGUUUUCGCAGGACUGAUCAUUAUGUUGGUUAAAAAGAAGUAUCUUUUUCUUGCAUGUUAUUUAGUUUCAAGAGAUGAUAACACAAGAAAAUGAAGAUUUUUUUUUUCUUACAUAGAAGUAAAUAUCAACCAUUUGAUGGAUCAUUGCCACAGGUGUAGCAAUUAAAUUUCACUCCUCAGUCAGUUUGUUUUGAAUAAAAAUCUUGCACAGUUCCUUACCAGUGUUUCCUGUAUAGCUUUGGCUUUUGUCAGGAAUACUGGAGAGCUGGAAAUGCAGGUCUGUUUGUUCUCCUGAUCCAUGAAAGAGGAAUUGUACUGUGAGGGAGUUUGGAAAAGAAAGGUAACAGUGCAAGAAAGCCAAAUUUGAAUCCAUGCCCAACUCUAUAAACUUCACCUUUAUUCUUCAUUAUCCACCACAAAAGGUGAAGUGUCUUUGUGUUUGUUAAAUCAUUGGCCUCGGUCUCACAAUUACCAUUCAGGAUCUGCAGCCGUGACAUUGCAGCUCUCUGUGAAGCUGAAUUCAAAACACCCUCACUCUGGCUUAGAGAGCAAAUGAAAGGCUAGGGUCAACUAGUGGCAACAUUUGGAACAAGAAUUUAACUGGUUGCCUGAUGAUAAAGGGAUUUAUAUUUGCUUAUUGAUCCCCUGAGACUCCCAAGCUGGGCCACAUCUCAUGGUGAUGGCUAAACUUUGCUAUGGAUCUGAAAUAAUGUAGCUAAUGUAGCUGGACCUCGUACCUCUGACCUUUCCUGAUCCUCCUUGUCAGACUGGACUGGGUAUUCUCUAAACUGCAUUUGGGGCUGCCUUUGCCAAAACCCAUGAGCCAGUGCUUAUUUCGUCAAUCCUUUUUAAGUGCCCCUGCUUUAGACUCCUCUGCUUAUAUUUACAGCCCUGACAUUACAAGUGUGAAUUCUCAAAUAACAAACAGUUUUCUUUCCUUGUAGACUUAGUAUGCUGUGGCAUCUGUAAAUAUCUGCUCUCCCCUGUGAGUCUAGGAUAACACUGUAACAUGUACAGGUUAGCUGAGGGCACAAAUCACCAAAACUGCCUACAUUAGGAGUUCUCUCCUGUUUUUGUUUUUGUUUUAGUGGAACCUGUAUUUUUUUCUAAAGGAAUGCCUGCUCCUCACAACUCCUCUAAAAAUCUCCCUGAGGUUUUCUGUGUGAUAAGUUGUCUCUAAAAUAAUUUCAUGAGUAAAGUUGGUAGAGUGUAUCAGAUAUGUUCCUGCAGAGAGAGUAGGACCAUUCCAGGAAGGGGGUUGCCUCGAUCUGCUGUCUAAUAACGCUUUAUCUAUGAUAGAACUUAGCAUAGCUGUGAAAGGAUGAAUAAAUUGUUCUCAGUCACCUACCAGUGGAAAUUUUUCUUCACAGCAUCACUUUAAAAAGGAAGCAGUUCCCCUAAAAUGUUAAAUUGAUGUUCCAGCUGAGAAAAAUAACAGUAACUUUCAGAAGAGAAUUUGAUUUUUAAACUCUUCUGCUUUACUAGCUGGCAGCCUUAGGUAUCUGCAAGUAUAUCCUGACUACAUAAUCAGCCUAAGCUGAAACCAGCACAAGUUUUACAUCUCUCUUAUAAAUACAAUUCCUACAAAGGGUGCUUGCACUAGAGCAAUACACAGAAUCACUGCACAAACUUACAAAGUGCUCUUAAACCCUUUAAAGCAAAGUGCUUUUGAGUAAAUGACACUCUCCAGUUUUGUAAUGUCAUGUGGAUAAAUGCCUCAUUUACUGACUGCGAGGGGACCACAAAGAUCUGUUGUUGUAAAAGUUUGAUUUUCCAUUUCUUGGGACUGGAAAGUAGAAUAGAGAUUUGUCCUAGCCUUGUUGCAGAAUUGACAAAUCAUUAAUUCCAUUGAUUCUCACUGUAGUGCAAUUUAUCGAACCUAAGUCCAUUUGUAUUAGCAAAAAUUACAUGUCAUGGUGAGGAAAUCCCUCUUCUCAAGCUCUUGCUUUUAUACUUUCACCUUCAUUUAUUUAUUCUUUUUAAAGCACUGUUACAUACUGUUGUGUUCUUAGAAGCUUCAGACAAAGAUUAUCAGGGAGACCCUUCUGUUGAGUCAUGAGGUGCAGAAAGGACCCCCCUUGCUUUCUGAACUCCUUCUCAGGGAGGAGGCUAGGUGCAGCUGGAUCUAAUCCUAGUCCUCGUGGUUAACGGUUUAUGUCUAAUGGAUUAUAUAGGUGUAAUUGAGCCUUUGUAUGACUUUGUCUUGCAGGAUUAAGGAUGGCAAACCAAUAAAGUAUUUAAAUUGAUGAUAAUAAUGAUUAGACUAAAAGACUUUAAUCUGAAUCAGUUACUACACAAUAUAGAUAUUUACAAUUACAAGUACAAUUACUUCAUGAUUUUAACAGUGAACUAUUUAUUAAAUCAAUAAUUUCAAAGCUAGCAAAAUAAUUAGUAAGUAGAGAUUGAUGUUACUCUGUUCUAAGGACUGUGACCAAAUAUCUUUCACUCAGCCUCCAGGUGUAACCUUGAGGUGUGUCCUUACAGGGAUGCUAGAAAUCCCUGCCAUUAAAAAGUGGGACUGUGCUUUUUGUAGUAUAAAGUGAUCGACUGUCAUUCAUAUGUUUCUAGCCUAGCUGUGUCAGCUCAGCAGCCUUCAGCUCAGCAGCUUUAGAUAAGUUAUCUGUACUAUCUCUUGUUGGUUUCUUUAUCAGGAACUUUUUCUGCCACAUCCUCACCAGUGACAGUUUCUGUCAGGAAAUGUUUUUUCACAUUCUCAGUGUUUAACUUGGGGAUUGUUGAGUUAGGCUGAUCUCAGCACUCUUCAACAACAAAAGCAGUAUGACCUCCCUUCUCCAUCCAUUGAUGCAAAUAGGGUAAAGUUUGAGCUGUUUCACUCCUACUUAGGCAGAGCAGCCUGCUACACAUACCUUGUAAAGAAUCUGGAGUACUAGAUUAUGGAGCCUUCUGCUUGUUCUUGUCCAUUGAACUCAAUGCACUUUAUGUCAAAAUUGCAAAUACAUCAAGUGUUGAAUGGACACUUGCCAGUGUUCGUUUGGAUUUGGGAGGAGCAAAGGACUGCAUGCAGCAGGCAGACUCACUUCACUUCCACCCCCCACCUCCCCCAGCCUGCAAACUGCAGUGAUGAAAAGGGCUUUUGAAGGGUGUCUGACAAGGAACAAAUUUCCUUUUUUCUUCAUUUAAAGAAGAAAACACCCCACCAGGUUUUUGGCCCUGGCUGGUGCAUGUCAACACAGCUGCAGCUGGAGUGGUGGUGAUGUACACCACUGGUGAUGCUGGCAGGGAGAUGCUGCUGUGGGGAUGUGCUGUGCUUCCACUGGAGCUCAGCCUCUGGAUGCCAUGGAAGCACAUAAAAAGAGGAGGGUUAAGGGAGAUCCUGAUUAAAGUUCCAUUUACUGAUGCUCCUCACCAAUUUAUAUCCAAGUGCUACUUUGCUAAUUAAUGACUGCUCAUGAAGUGCCAUGUGUCAGCAAUGAAUCACUUAUUUUUGUUGCACUGCAGUAGUAUACUGCUAAUGAGCAAGGACAACUCAUAUAAUUAAAGUCUAAAAUAGCCCUGUCAGUAGGACACAAUCAAGUGUUUAUAUCUUGCUGCAGUGGGUGGACCAGAGUAUAUCACUUUUCUGCCUUUGCUAGUUUUACAAGAAAAAAAAAUGGAGAGUUGAAAAAAUUUGGGGUAGUAAAUAUUUUUUCAACUGUAGUAGUACAAGGAAUUGACUUUAAUUUUAAAAGAACUAAAAUUCUGCCAGUUACCUGUAUCUGGCAUAAUCUUAAAAUAAGACUGUCUUAAUUAUUGCCUCUAAUGGGCCUCAUCAAGCUCAAAACUAAUUAAAAAAAAAUAAAAAGGAGAAACAGCCUGGAUGAAAUGGGGAAGAUUAGUGCAAAGUUACAGCAAAAUCUGUAGUUUGUUUCUUCACAGCUGCAUGUAGGUAGGAAAACUGAGAAAUGAGGACAAGCCAGCUGUGAAUGUAUGUAGGCAGCUGUUCAUACUUUAAGCAAUACCUUGAAAAACCAGUAAACCAGCAAAUAACAUUUCUCCUGUUUGACCUGGUCAGUGCUAGCACAGCAGAGGUCUUCUGUUUUCAUUCAUGAGAGGUAAGAUCAAGUCUCUGGAGAACAUUUGGUCCAUCUAUGCACACUGCAUCCCUUUCCCCAUGGUGUUAUACAUCACAGUCUGAACCACUGAUGUAGUCCACUAGUUUUCCUCACAGGAGGGAAAAAAAAUUGUAUGUCCAAGAUAACAAGUAGAAUCUAUUAGCCAAAGCCCCCCAUGUUAGUAGUGACAUGCACAAAUGACAUAAGGCCAUCUAGGUUUCCUAGAUGCAGCAGUAGGAAAACUGUAUCCCAUCUCCUCUGUCAAGGAAUAAAUCCGUCUCUUGUGGACCCAGUUAUUCUGAUUAGGAGAGAAGGGGAGGGAUAUAUGUAGCCUAUAUUGAAAAGAUAAGACAAAACAGAGACUUUAUGGAAGGCAUGGGAAGAAGAAUGGACCUUUUAUUUUAGUGCUUUGGAUACAAAAUAUUUCAAUGUUUAGGAUUUUAAGUUUGUAAUGAAAAACAAUUCUAUGAAAAAUUGAAACAUUCCUUCCCACGACAGCCCCUACGAUCUCUCCACCACUCCCUUUUACACACACCUAUGUGCGAACUCGAGUUUCUGUGAAGGAACAAAAAGCCUAAUCAACAGUUGUGACCACUACUGCUGAAAAAGAGCAAUAAAAGUGAACAUCCAUUUUCCUUGGAACAGGUUCUGAAUACUUUCUCAGUAUGAGCAGACCUGAUCUUGCUGCUCAGCAGUAAGAACAGCUACAGCUCUCCCAUUACUGCUAGCAUGACAGAUCAACAUUUGUCCUUGGUGUUGUCUGUAGCAAGCACUGGGUAGACCCUUUGUAUUGGCCCCAUACAGCUAUUUAAAAAAAAAAUCCCAUGAAACGAGAAUCUUUUCUGAAAUGACUUCUACAAAUUCUCAGAAAGCUUUGUGAGUGCCUGACAAAAGCCCUCACUCUGGGGUAUAAAGUACAGUGGGAUUGCCAGCUCUGUGUUUUCACAGGCUUGUUUAGGAAAAAUACUCAACUUGGGUUGAGUAGGGAAGACCUUAAUCUCCUUAUUCUUGAGAACACUGCAGCCCUCCCCACCUAAACUUUCUUGAAUGUUAAGCUAUGAAGGCAGAUGUGCUACCUGUAUUUUAUCCCCUUCACAGUCUCGCUGUGAUCUCCAAUGACAUCCUGACACUGGACAGUUCCCCAGUGAUAAAUGGGGAACAAUUCCUCUUUUCAACAUCUGCUCUUCCACUUUUGUUUAGCUCUUCAAAAGCUGUUUGUUUGCAUUGACAAGACUGUGGUGAGAUCGUGAGAGAAAACUUUGGAUAGAAUUAAUUUAGAUAUUUCUGAUCUCUUGAGUUUGCUUUUGGGUAAGUCAAGGUUCUGUAUAACUGCAGAGUGGAGGCAGGGAUAAAAGUAUGAGACUGUCAGAGCAUCUGCAAAAUGGGCACUUCAUGAUUUUAAAAAACAUGCAUUGUUGUGGAACAGAAGUGUAAUAUAUGCCAUUAACAUUAGUGUCAUUGGACAGCCUCUAAAUUGCAGAUUGGUGGGAAAAUAUUGGUAUGAAAACAAGAGAAAAUGAAAACCGUAAUAAGCUCUCUGCAUAAGAAGGGUGAUCUACAGUUAAAUAUAAAGGCUAAACUGAAAAAAUGUGAAGGAUGAGACAUAUUUCCUAUUUUAAGGCUAAGACUGAUGCUCUGCCUCUCACCCCCAAAGCUGUGGCAGAAACUUAGUGGUGUGAAGCAGAGACACCACAUCAGAUUUCACUCUGCAUUCCUGGCUCUGGAUGAUUUAUCACUUGCAGCCAUUCUGUUUGCUAUUAAUUAAGUACAAAAUUUAUUUUGCUUUUGUAAAGUUAUUAUAUACAAAAGUUAGCUUGACUGUCCUCCAUCUCCUAUUGAGCUUAGUUGAAAGUGAAAACAAAAGGUCUUUAUUUCAGCUGCUGUAAAUUCAGGUUCCAAAUGUAUUUCUUUGCAUUUGUACACUCAUAAAAUGAAAACAGGCAGCCUGAAUUCUCUGCUGUAGGUGCUCCAACACUUCUUGUAAAUGUGGUUAUAAAAACUGAUUACUUCUUAACAAAUAACCUGCAUGUAUUAUGACAUAGCCAGGAGAAUGGAUAUGAUCUGGAUGGUAUUAUGACAGAAUCCCGUCAUUUUUUUCCCCCCUGACAGCAGAUAUAUGGGCUUCACUUUACUCUUUGGAGAAUGAUGAACUAUUGACCACCAAAUAAUGGGAGAGCAAUGUUUGAUGUUGAGAAAACCAUGCUAGAAAUGCCCUCUGGGCGACAGUACUCAGCACAAAGGUGGUUCUUGGAGCUGACUGUCAGCCAGGCUCUGUCUGUAGCUCUGAUUGCUUUGGAAAUGUCAGUAAUGUCAGCCAAAAUGGGAGGCUUGUGCGAGAGGAAGACAGAACAUCUUGCUGAGCUAUGGCAAUAACAAGUUUGUUGCUAAAUGUGAGCUAUUACUACCCACAAGCACAGAUUUCAGAGAAUGCACCCCUAGACACAACUUUCUUGGUGACAUGUCUCUGCUUUACUGGGAACUCAGAUAGACACAUACCGAUGGCAAGGAGCCUUUUUUUUUCUCUAUCACCUUCUGUUUUAUUCCUCUUUUCCUUCUACCCAGAGAAUAAUAGAGUAUUUCCCCAUUUUCUUAAAGGCAGGUAGAAAGAACGAAAGAUAAACCCCAAUAAAGCAGCCCCAGAGUCUCUGGGCAAGUGGAUGUCUUUCAGUUCAAAAUACAAUGAAACACAAAAUACAACUGUGAUGACUGAUGUGGCUUUUUAUUCUCCAGUCAUGAUUAAAAAGGUAAAUGCUUCCCUCUUUCAGUGAUGUACUUCAGUACAGUGAUGGUAAAUUGAAGACAAGAUCUGUUUGGGUGAUGCAGGGGACCAGACACUAUUCAAACAUAGGAUGGAGAGGAUUUUGUCCCUCCAGGAGUCUGAAAGUCCCACUUGUUAGAGAGUUCCUGUGUGAGUGGAGAUGUGCAGUGUGGGUGAGCUGAGAAGGGAUGUCAGUGGCAUAAGAGAUGGCGGGAGUUAGAAACCACAAGUGGCUGCCAGUCCUUUUGUCUGCGCUGCGAAUAUGCAUCUUGUAUCUAUUCUUUCCUAUGAGAAUCUCAAGGGUUCUGCUGCAACACUGCUCCAGCAUAGUGAUGCUGCACAAAGGAGAAAUCUAGUUUUUAUUCAGGAUAGAGAUUUAAGCAUUCCUGUCUAAUUCCAUUCUGAAUGGCUGUUUGACAGUUUCUUGUGCUGAACUUCUGCAGAACCAGUCCAUACAAGGUGCUUUGACUAACCACUCUGCUCCUGAAGCCAUCCCCAAAAUUUAAAUAACCUGGACCAUCCUUCAGCUCCCAGUUCAGCUCAUUAAGAAGUGUGGGUCCCUGGGACCAGCAAACACAGCACAGGAUACCUUGUAUGCAGUGCUAUCUUUUGUACGCUGAUUUUAACAGCUCUCUGAAAAAGAGGUUCAAUUACAGUUUGCCUUGGAAGAGGCUUUCUUAUGAGCUGCUGAACCCUCCCAAGCACCAUUUACAGGCCUGCCAGAUUUUGAUGUUUGCUGGAGAAAGUCCAGCCCAUGGACAAGUCACCAGCUCCAACUCCUACUGGAGGGGCCAAGCAGCAGACGUGCCAUGAGUGCAAAGAAGCACCUGGGGGCUUCAGAAAGAUGGCACGCCACCCAGAGAGGUAAUCUUAAUGCCUAAGAGAGUUUCCCAUGGCCAGAUUUGCUUGCUUUAAUAAAGUAAGGAUUUUAGCUGGUUGAAAUGAGGAUACGUGAUGGGAGAAAUUUAGUCUUGCUGGAAUAUUCUUAUAAACAUUUUAUUAUUACUUUUUGCACUGAAGUGUUCAUUGUGUCUCAUGAGAACCAUCGUUAGACAUUUUGACAUACUUUUUAUUCAAUUCAGAAAUUAACAGUGUAGUUUUAAUGAAGUUCAAAUAAACCCAGUAUGAAUACUGGAAUACAAAACAAUUUUUUUGUUCAAAAAUCAAGAAGAAAAUGAAGCAAAAGCAUAUCUGAAGAUUACAAAGAUAAUUUAAAAGAAAAUAAAAAGAUAAUGAAUGAGCACAGCUAUCAUUCCCUUGAAUAUAAUGAAAUGUGUUUUAUGACAUUUGGCUGUAAUCACAAUUAGCAAUACUCAGGGCUAUUUGCUUGGCUGUGUGUGCAAAUCUGAAUGUGUGUGUAUGAGAAAGUAAUAGUGGCUGUACAAAUUAAUUUCUUGUGAAGGGCUGAUUGCUCCACCUGUUAUAGUCUGUCUACAUCCUAUAUUCCCAUCAAAUGUUGCUGAUUAGUUCACAGAAUGUAAUUGAAGAAUGAGAAUAGAGAGCAAAAUGUCUGAUUUAUAGACUGAAAUGGUUAUACUCAGUGAUUUUUUUUUAAUGCUGGUUUAAAUAUUCUGUUAUUAAAUUGAUUAAAUAAUUAAAUACUGCUAUAAACAUGUCAGAUGGUACUGACAUCAAUUUUCUACUGCUGAGUGGGACUCUCAUUUACUUGCUAAUAUAGUGAAUAUUACUAAAGUUGGUGCUAGUGUUGAACGAGAUUGCUAAAGAACAUUAAGGAAAGAAGGAAGGGAUGAAAAUACCCUCUGUAAACACUUGUCAGUGAAAAACAUAGCAUGAACAGAUCAUGCUAUUUGUAUAUGCUUUAUUUGUGUUAAAUAAAAGAGUUUUCUUUUUUAGAUUGAGCAGAGCUGAAAGGAUAACUGGUUCUAAAGGUAAAAGACGAUUUCAAUGAUUCCUUGUUUUCUUUAAAAAUACAAUCACCAGACCACAAGCUGCAUUAUUUGUAUGUUUAUUCAGUUAUAGAACUGAAUCUAUAUUUGAGAAAGCAUGAAAAGUUAAGACAAGAAAUCCCCAGAUCGAAACAAAGCCACUUGCUGCAAAUCACAAUGUUAGUAAAGCAGAUAAAGUAAAAACUGUUUUUGGGGAAAAUAUAUAAGCUGCUAAAAUCCAUGUGGACCUGCUGGAAAUUAACAUAGCAAACUAUUAUAAAUAUUGUCAGCUACAGCAAGAGAAGAGGAGAUCCAGCUAUCUCACUCCCCAGUCAGAGCUGAGACACUGCAGGUUUGGAGCAUCAGAGCUGACUCCCUUUCUUCAUAUCUGAUAGCAGCUGAACUGUAUCUGUAUUCAACCCUUUAUUCAUUGUUUGCCCUGAACUUGUUUGAAGUCUAUUUAAGCUGUGCUAAUGACUGUAGUCUAAUUUAAUGAAUAAUCUCCUGGAGAUUCACAGUUGUUGUCUGGGUUUACAAAUUUUUUAAGGAAGAGAAAAACCUGUACCUGCCUUUUUGAUGGUGUUCUGACUUCAACAUGUUAUUUGGCCCACUCACUAUUCUUCACCAAUAUGCAGAGAAGAAGGGGUAUCAAUUUGUAUAUCAUGCUGUGCUGUUUUUGUCUGGGGCAGUGUUAGUUUUCUUCAGAGUGGCUAGUAUGGGGCUGUGUUUUGGAUUUGUGCUGAACACCGUGAUGAUAGUACAGAGACGUUUGUUAUUGCUGAGCAGUGCUUGCACAGAGCCAAGGCCUUUUCUGCUUUCUGUACUGCCACGCUGGCAAGGAAGUUGGGGGUGCGUGGGAAGCUGGGAGGAGACACAGCCAAGACACGUGACCUCAACUGAUUCAAGGGAUGUUCUAUACCAUAUGACAUCAUAAUUCAGUAUAUGAAAUCGGGGAAAGAAGGAGGAAGGAAGGGACAUUUGAAGUGAUGGCAUUUGUCUUGCCAAGUAACCACUGUGUGUAACGGGGCCCUGCUCUCCUGGAGAUGGCUGAAUACCUACCUGCUUGCCCGUGGGAAGCAGUGAAUUAAUUCCUUGUUUUAUUUUGCUUGCAUGUGUGGUUUUUGCUUUUCCAAUGCCUAAGUAUUAGUCUAUGUAUAAAACACGUUAAAAGAAGGUUGAAGUUAAGUUCAUUGAUACACUGUUGUCAAGAAUAUAACUAUCUUGUCAAAAGAAGUUCCUUUGCUGACAUAAGCCCCCUCUCAAGAGGAUGUAUUUCUUGGAAAGAGAUACCAUGGUCAACAAAUUUUUCAAAUUCUAGAAGAAGUAGCCAGCAAGGAAGGUUUCAUCUUGAAACAAAUCUGCCGUGUUGUUAGAAGACAUCAUAGUAGGUCCUCUAAGAUGCUCUUUUUUUGUCUUAUAAAUACACUUUGGCAAUUUUAUGUAGUACACGCAGAGCUAGACGUAAGUGCCUGUACAUCUCAGUUCAUUCAGCACUAUUCGAUCUGAGAAGUGUACUUUGGUGUACAUUUUAUUAAAUUCAAAAAUGGAAAACAGAGAAAGCUUCUAAGCCCCGUAUCAGUGAACCACACGGUAAAAGCGCAAUUAUAAAACUAUAAUAAAUAUUUAUGUGCUUAGUACAUAUGAGAUAUUCUAAGAUUCUAUAUUGUAAACUGCACAUGCAUUGAAUAACAAAAGACUGAAUAGCGAGGCAUUUUCUGCUUUGUAAAUUACUUUAGGCUACCACAACUCAUCUGCUUUGGAAGCAAGAUUAUUUUCUUUUGCUAAAAGUGAAUGUUUUAAGAUUCUCGUGUGUAUGAAGAAUUAAACAUUUACUUCUGUCUGACCAGGAUAUGUAUAUGACAUGGUGUAUCCAGGGUCAAUUUAUUCAUGUGGUAUAUAAUUGUCACUUUUUAGCAAAUGGAAUUUCCAGUCCUUCUAUGAACAAAAAAUAUGUCUCUUUUGUACUGUUUACUAGGCUCACCCUGAUUCUUAUUCUGUCAAAAUAAACUCUGAGAUAUAAACUCUAUUUCUCUGCAGAAAAUAAAAAACGUACAACUUUUU